UUUAACCCAGUUUUAAAGCAAAAAGUAGAAGCAAAGAGGCUAGUAUUUUCAAAGCAACGUGCUCUGCCUGCAGACUGUCAAAGUGAAACCUUCCUCCCCGCACUCGCGGAGGGGUUUGAUUUCACCCUGGGUGCCCCAGCUGCGGUCUUGCUGCUGAAAGGCGCUCAGGACCAGCAUGGGUUUGCCGCUCGGUGCCCCGACUGAUGAGCGACACAGCCAUUAAGCCCCAACCCCUCCGUGACCCGGCACGUGGGUUUUCAGACAAGCCAGAAGCUCACAGCGGGUUGUGAAAAUCCUUUAUUCCUCACCACAUGUUGGGGACAGCUUGAUGCAAUGAUGUAUUUUUGGUGCAGCAACAAGCACCGGGCAGCUUUAUCCCUUGAGCCUUCAUUUGAACCUUCUCUCAAGGCUAUUUGCAAACUCCUGGUUCUCCUUUUUCACCACGGCAGCUUCCCUGAGGACCAUCCACACCCAAGGACGACGUGAACCCCAGAACUGGUUGAUAAACCACCGAGGUCUGGGCUGUUUUUUCCACCCCGCGGAGAGCUCAGCUCAUCUCUGCCAGGAGCCUAUGUUGGUCGCAACACCAGGGCCAGCUGGAGCAGCCCGAACCCACAGAAUAACUUAUUUGCCCCUUCCUAGAACUCUUAGAGUGCAGUUAAUUAUUUACAAGCCUUAAUACUUACGGCCACGCGGGCCCAAGGAUAGAAGGGCAUUAAAAUUCCACUUGAUGCUCACCAGGCCUGACUAAUAAAAUAAUGUCCAACAAGGACAUCAAUUAGCCGCCGAUUCGCUAACACUUUGCGAGGCUAAUGACAGCUGGAGCGAGGAAUUUGAAACCCGAGUCAUUUCUCCAGCCUGCACCGGGGUGCCAGGGAUAAAAGGUUAGUCAUGUGUACCAAAUGCAGCGUGAGCUCCUCCAUUAUUUAUGUGUGUCAAACAGACAAGGAGCGUUUCAAUGCCUGCACUCACUCUAUGGUAAUUUGUAUUAUAUAAACAGAUAUAAUCUGGUCAUUAAUACACAUAAUUCUGAGUGAGCUGACAGUAAUGAAUCUGGAGUAUAUUAUUCCAUUGACUUGUUCUCUUGCUAAAUAACAGUCCAUAUUAAUAAGAACUGAUAUACUGUAGCCAGCAGCACCCAUGAGCAUGGUGGGGUUCAUGGUGGACUCAAGGUACGUAGCUUUGCUCUUUGCUUUUUGUCCUAAAGUUUUUGGCCAGCCCCUAGCUGUACACCCAUGGGAUUUAGGCUUGUCUUUCACCGGGCCAGGUCUUUUCUGUUUACUGGCUCAGGACCGCUCACGUUGCAUCAAUCGCUGCUUGGCACUGCACACCCCACAUCUCUGGCUCUGUUCUCCAAGUCUGAUCUUCCCCAGGAGGAAUCCCUGUUCCAGCGUGUCAUCCAGUGGUGUGAAGGAGCCUGAUCUUGCGGCAGUAGCGCCAGAUGGUGACUAGUAAAAGAGUGUCUGAGACCAGGAUGGAAAUAGAUGGAAAGCUUAUGCACAGAUGAAAGGCUUGAAAUGAAAUACAUUAUGCAUGAGAUGAACAGUUGGAAUCUGAGAGCCACUUGGAGGUUUGCAGAUGCCUGGGUUGAUAGAAAACGUGUUCUUCCAGGACAAAGCCUUCAUUAAAGAAGAUUUAAAAGUGAUAUUCCCUCUUAAGCCAACAUUGGCUGCCAUGGGUAGGUCUCUGAAGGCUAGAUCAGGGGUAUUGGUGAUGGCAAGAGGGAGACAUCUCUGUGUAGCCAAGCGCAG